rnacentral:tRNA from 1 species
GUGGACGUAGCUUAGCCUGGCGAAAGCACCGGCCCGCCACGCCGGGGACGUGGGUUCAAAUCCCGCCGUUCACU